GACGAACGCUGGCGGCGUGCUUAACACAUGCAAGUCGAACGGUGAAGCGCCUUCCUUUUUGGUGGGUGUGGAUGAGUGGCGAACGGGUGAGUAACACGUGAGUAACCUGCCCCCUUCUUCUGGAUAACCGCAUGAAAGUGUGGCUAAUACGGGAUAUUCUGGGUCUGUCGCAUGAUGGGUCUGGGAAAGAUAUUGUUUCGGUGGGGGAUGGGCUCGCGGCCUAUCAGCUUGUUGGUGGGGUGAUGGCCUACCAAGGCGGUGACGGGUGGCCGGCCUGAGAGGGUGGACGGUCACACUGGGACUGAGACACGGCCCAGACUCCUACGGGAGGCAGCAGUGGGGAAUAUUGCACAAUGGGCGCAAGCCUGAUGCAGCGACGCCGCGUGAGGGAUGGAGGCCUUCGGGUUGUGAACCUCUUUCGCCAGUGAAGCAGGCCUGCCUCGUUUGUGGGUGGGUUGACGGUAGCUGGAGAAGAAGCGCCGGCUAACUACGUG
rnacentral:rRNA from 1 species